rnacentral:rRNA from 1 species
AACGAACGCUGGCGGCAUGCCUAACACAUGCAAGUCGAACGAGACCUUCGGGUCUAGUGGCGCACCGGUGCGUAACGCGUGGGAACCUGCCUUUAGGUUCGGAAUAACUCAGAGAAAUUUGAGCUAAUACCGGAUGAUGUCUUCGGACCAAAGAUUUAUCGCCUUUAGAUGGGCCCGCGUUGGAUUAGCUAGUUGGUGGGGUAAAGGCCUACCAAGGCGACGAUCCAUAGCUGGUCUGAGAGGAUGAUCAGCCACACUGGGACUGAGACACGGCCCAGACUCCUACGGGAGGCAGCAGUGGGGAAUAUUGGACAAUGGGCGAAAGCCUGAUCCAGCAAUGCCGCGUGAGUGAUGAAGGCCUUAGGGUUGUAAAGCUCUUUUACCCGAGAUGAUAAUGACAGUAUCGGGAGAAUAAGCUCCGGCUAACUCCGUG